GUGGGGAAUAUUCCGCAAUGGACGAAAGUCUGACGGAGCAACGCCGCGUGAGUGAUGAAGGUUUUCGGACUGUAAAGCUCUGUUGUUUGGGACGAAAGUGCCUGUUGCGAACAGUUACGGGUAUUGACGGUACUAAACGAGGAAGCCACGGCUAACUACGUGCCAGCAGCCGCGGUAAUACGUAGGUGGCAAGCGUUGUCCGGAAUUAUUGGGCGUAAAGAGCAUGUAGGCGGGAAUCUAAGUCUGUUGUUAAAAUGCGGGGCUCAACCCCGUAUUGCGAUGGAAACUGGGUUUCUUGAGUGCAGGAGAGGAAAGGGGAAUUCCCAGUGUAGCGGUGAAAUGCGUAGAUAUUGGGAGGAACACCAGUGGCGAAGGCGCCUUUCUGGACUGUGUCUGACGCUGAGAUGCGAAAGCCAGGGUAGCGAACGGGAUUAGAUACCCCGGUAGUCC
rnacentral:rRNA from 1 species